rnacentral:rRNA from 1 species
AGUGAACGCUGGCGGUAGGCCUAACACAUGCAAGUCGAACGGCAGCACAGUAAGAGCUUGCUCUUACGGGUGGCGAGUGGCGGACGGGUGAGGAAUACAUCGGAAUCUACUUUUUCGUGGGGGAUAACGUAGGGAAACUUACGCUAAUACCGCAUACGACCUACGGGUGAAAGCAGGGGAUCUUCGGACCUUGCGCGAUUGAAUGAGCCGAUGUCGGAUUAGCUAGUUGGCGGGGUAAAGGCCCACCAAGGCGACGCUCCGUAGCUGGUCUGAGAGGAUGAUCAGCCACACUGGAACUGAGACACGGGCCAGACUCCUACGGGAGGCAGCAGUGGGGAAUAUUGGACAAUUGGCGCAAGCCUGAUCCAGCCAUACCGCGUGGGUGAAGAAGGCCUUCGGGUUGUAAAGCCCUUUUGUUGGGAAAGAAAAGCAGCAGGUUAAUACCCCGCUGUUCUGACGGUACCCAAAGAAUAAGCACCGGCUAACUUCGUG